GUACUAUCUACAGGUACUGCGGACUGUAGCACCGACAUAGAAUAUAUAGGGAACGAAAAAGAAUCAGAGCCAUUUACACAUUUUAUCAACAGUCAUCGUUUGGUUUGGUGGACGUCCUAGCUAGGUCCUUCGCUCGCGUCGCGUGCAUGCGGGCGGUGGCCUGUUGCACGCGGCAUAAAUACAUGCAUCUAUCGCAUUACAAAAUCGCGUGAAGUACUGCUCAAACAUGCUUCUUGCGAACUCGAAGCUCCUCACCGACCAUCAUCCCGGGCUCGACACUUUCGACGGAUUCGCCGCUUUCACCGCUGCUGCUGCUUCUGGUUAGACAGCUCAUCACCAGGAGGGCGGCCACAGCCGCUGUCCACCGAAUAGCAGCCAUGGGUAGGACUAAUAACGAAGACGCUGAAAUUAUGUAAUAAAAAUAAAAUCUUUCAGGUUAUGCUAUCUUGUCGAUUUUCGCGUCGAUGAAACGCACAUAGGACAAGUCGGGUGUCGGCUUCCUCGAAGCCGGAAAAAGGGCGGGGGCCCCCUGCAUCCGUACAGGCCGCGGCCGGUAGCUAGCGCGGCAUGUGUGACAAUUGAUGGGUAGUGUCAACGCGGUGGGAGAUGUGCUUUGUUGCAGCAAUGCUGAUGGUGUGGGAGCUAAGCUUGCACCGGCGGAAUCGUCAGCACCGCCUGCGGGCUCCACGCGAAUCGCAUCCAUCCCGGGUGCAUGCCAUAUGGACAGUGCGGCAGACCGCAAGUCGGAAUGCCCGUGCGGGCAAAAUGGUAACGCAAGCUGGGUGUUCAAUUGUCAUACGCUGUCAUCUCAGAAUUCCAUUAUGAGAUACACGGCACCUUUUGAGAUGAAAUUUAGUCCGAGAGGCGUUGACGUGACUUUGAGCUCGGUCAAUUGAGGCAGCCAAAGUUGUUUGUCUCAUACGAUCUUUGUUGGCAACCGGCGAGAUACCUUGCAGUAGGGAAUGCUAUAUAGUACCGAUAACGCGUUUCAGCCGGGUGAAAUAUUAUGUUUGGUCCGUUACACACUCAAGGCCUGGGAGUUCGAGUUAUCAUACGCCGUCAUCUAAGAAUUCAAAU
rnacentral:lncRNA from 1 species